UUUGAACGCUGGCGGCAUGCCUUACACAUGCAAGUCGAACGGCAGCGGGGACUUCGGUCCGCCGGCGAGUGGCGAACGGGUGAGUAAUGUAUCGGAACGUACCAUUCAGUCGGGGAUACCUAUCCUAAAGGAUAGCUAAUACCGCAUAUUCUGUGAGCAGGAAAGCAGGGGAUCGCAAGACCUUGCGCUGGUUGAGCGGCCGAUAUCAGAUUAGCUAGUUGGUGAGGUAACGGCUCACCAAGGCUACGAUCUGUAGCGGGUCUGAGAGGAUGAACCGCCACACUGCGACUGAGACACGGCCCAGACUCCUACGGGAGGCAGCAGUGGGGAAUUUUGGACAAGGGGCGCAAGCCUGAUCCAGCCAUGCCGCGUGAGUGAAGAAGGCCUUCGGGUUGUAAAGCUCUUUCGGCCGGGAAGAAAUCGCAUCAGCUAAUACCUGGUGUGGAUGACGGUACCGGAAUAAGAAGCACCGGCUAACUACGUGCCAGCAGCCGCCGUAACAC
rnacentral:rRNA from 1 species